rnacentral:rRNA from 1 species
GACGAACGCUGGCGGCAUGCCUAACACAUGCAAGUCGAACGAGACCUCCGGGUCUUUUGGCGCUCGUGGGCUUAACGCGUGGUAACUUGCCCUUGGGUUCCCUGUCACUCCCCGUGGGGUGUCUUCAUACCGGUUAAUGUCUUCGGACCUAAGAUGUAUCGCUUUUGGGUGGGCCCGGGUUGGUUUAGCUAGUUGGUAGUGUACAAGCCUACCAAGGCGACGAUCCAUAGCUGGUCGGAGAGGAGGAUCUGCCACGCUGGGCCUGAGACACGGCCCAGACUCCUACGGAAGGGAGCAGUAGAGAAUAUUAGACGCGGGGCGAAAGCCUGAUACAGCAGUGCCGGGGAAGUGAUGAAGGCGUUAGGGUUGUAAAGCCGUUUUACCUGAGAUGAUAAUGACAGUACCGGGAGAAUAAGCACCGGCUAACUCCGUG